rnacentral:rRNA from 1 species
GAUGAACGCUGGCGGCGUGCCUAAUACAUGCAAGUCGAGCGAACAGACGCGGAGCUUGCUCCUCUGACGUUAGCGGCGGACGGGUGAGUAACACGUGGAUAACCUACCUAUAAGACUGGGAUAAAUUCGGGAAACCGGAGCUAAUACCGGAUAAUAUAUUGAACCGCAUGGUUCAAUAGUGAGAGACGGUUUUGCUGUCACUUAUAGAUGGAUCCGCGCCGCAUUAGCUAGUUGGUAAGGUAACGGCUUACCAAGGCAACGAUGCGUAGCCGACGUGAGAGGGUGAUCGGCCACACUGGAAGUGAGACACGGUCCAGACUCCUACGGGAGGCAGCAGUAGGGAAUCUUCCGCAAUGGGCGAAGGCCUGACGGAGCAGCGCCGCGUGAGUGAUGAAGGUCUUCGGAUCGUAGAACUCUGUUAUUAGGGAAGAACAAAUGUGUAAGUAACUAUGCACGUCUUGACGGUACCUAAUCAGAAAGCCACGGCUAACUACGUG